rnacentral:rRNA from 1 species
CUUGACGACCAUAGAGCGUUGGAACCACCUGAUCCCAUCCCGAACUCAGAAGUGAAACGACGCAUCGCCGAUGGUAGUGUGGGGUCUCCCCAUGU